rnacentral:rRNA from 1 species
AGCGACUGUGCAGGUUACCGCGGCUGCUGGCACGGAGUUAGCCGGUGCUUCUUCUGUGAGUGAUGUCCUUCCUGCCGGUUAUUGACCCGCAGGCCUUCUUCCUCACUGAAAGUGCUUUACAACCCGAAGGCCUUCUUCACACACGCGGCAUGGCUGGAUCAGGGUUGCCCCCAUUGUCCAAUAUUCCCCACUGCUGCCUCCCGUAGGAGUCUGGGCCGUGUCUCAGUCCCAGUGUGGCUGAUCAUCCUCUCAGACCAGCUACGGAUCGUCGCCUUGGUGAGCCGUUACCUCACCAACCAGCUAAUCCGACAUAGGCUCAUCCGAUAGCGCGAGGCCCGAAGGUCCCCCGNUUUACCCCCGUAGGGCGUAUGCGGUAUUAGCCUGGGUUUCCCCAGGUUAUCCCCCGACUCCGGGCAGAUUCCUAUGUAUUACUCACCCGUCCGCCGCUCGCCACCAGGGAGCAAGCUCCCCGUGCUGCCGCUCGACUUGCAUGUGUU